rnacentral:rRNA from 1 species
AUGGGCGACUCUGGCGGCUCCGUCGUGUCUAUUGACGUCGAGCGCAUCUCCUUCGGCGGGAAGGAACAUCAUAUAGAAACAAAACAUGGACCUGUAUCUGUUGCUGUGUAUGGUGACCAUGAUAAGCAUGCCCUUAUUACUUAUCCAGAUGUUGCUUUGAACCAUAUGUCUUGCUUCCAAGGACUACUAUUCUGCCCAGAGGCUGCCUCACUGCUGCUCCAUAAUUUUUGCAUUUACCAUAUAAGCCCCCCUGGACAUGAGUUAGGAGCCACUCCGAUUUUACCAAACAGUCCUGUGGCAUCAGUUGAUGAGUUAGCGGAUCAGGUUGCAGAAGUACUUGAUUUCUUUGGAUUGGGUUCUGUUAUGUGCUUAGGUGUCAGUGCUGGUGCAUACAUUCUUACUCUCUUCGCAACAAAGUAUAGGGAGCGUGUGCUCGGUCUUAUCCUCGUUUCACCUCUAUGUAGAACUCCCUCAUGGACUGAGUGGUUUUAUAAUAAGGUGAUGUCGAAUUUGUUGUAUUAUUACGGGAUGUGUGACAUGGUGAAGGACUGUUUGUUGCAGCGUUACUUUGGCAAGAGAGUGCGAGGAGGCUCUGCUGUACCAGAAUCUGAUAUUAUGCAGGCGUGUAGAAGUUUCCUAGAUCAACGGCAAAGCAUGAAUAUAUGGCGGUUUAUCCAAACAAUCAAUCAGAGACAUGACUUGACAGAAAGCCUGAAGCAGCUGCAGUGCAGAACUCUGAUAUUUGUCGGUGAGAACUCGCAGUUCCACACUGAAGCUGUUCACAUGACUGCAAAGCUUGAUAAGAGAUACAGUGCCCUCGUUGAGGUGCAAGCAUGUGGGUCCGUCGUGACGGAGGAGCAGCCGCACGCGAUGCUGAUACCAAUGGAGUACUUCCUCAUGGGAUACGGCCUGUUCAGGCCGAGCCAUGUAAGCUCCAGCCCUCGCAGCCCUUUGAACCCGUUCUGCAUAUCGCCGGAGCUCCUCUCGCCCGAGAGCAUGGGUGUGAAGCUGAAGCCGAUCAAGACGCGGGCCAAUCUCAGAGUGUAG